AUUGAACGCUGGCGGCAGGCCUAACACAUGCAAGUCGAGCGAGCGGCGGACGGGUGAGUAAUGUAUGGGGAUCUGCCUGAUGGCGGGGGAUAACUACUGGAAACGGUAGCUAAUACCGCAUACCAUCAGAUGAACCCAUAUGGGAUUAGCUUGUAGGUGAGGUAACGGCUCACCUAGGCGACGAUCCCUAGCUGGUCUGAGAGGAUGAUCAGCCACACGGGGACGGAGACACUGCCCGGGCUCCUACGGGGGGCAGCAGUGGGGAAUAUUGCACAAUGGGCGCAAGCCGGAUACAGCCAGGCCGCGUGUAUGAAGAAAGCCUGCGGGUUGGAAAGUACUUUCAGUCGGGAGGCGUUACCGACAGAAGAAGCGCCGGCUAACUCCGUGCCAGCAGCCGCGGUAAUUC
rnacentral:rRNA from 1 species